AGCCACGGCAGUCAGAGGAGAGAGAGGGGCGGGCACACGGGCUCUGACGUUUCAUGUUCAGAUCCUGGCCACUCCCUAAGACAUGGAUAAAGCCUGUACAUGAAACGUCACCACAGGGAGCCUGGUGGAACGU